rnacentral:rRNA from 1 species
AGAGUUUGAUCGUGGCUCAGGAUGAACGCUAGCGGCGCGCUUAAUGCAUGCAAGUCGAGCGAUGAGGCACCUUCGGGUGCCAUCAGCGGCAGACGGGUGAGUAACACGUAGGUGACCUACCCUGGAGAUGGGGAUAACGGAUGGAAACAUGCGCUAAUACCCAAUAGCCUUGAGGAAUCGGAACCUCAAGGAAAGCCACGGUGCUUCAGGAGGGGCCUGCGGCCUAUCAGCUAGUUGGUGAGGUAACGGCUCACCAAGGCGACGACAGGUAGGGGGUGUGAGAGCACGGCCCCCCACAAUGGGACUGAAACACGGCCCAUACUCCUACGGGAGGCAGCAGCAGGGAAUAUUGCACAAUGGACGGAAGUCUGAUGCAGCGACGCCGCGUGGACGAAGAAGGCCUUCGGGUUGUAAAGUCCUUUUCAGGGGGAAGAGGGAGGACGGUACCCUUGGAAUAAGCGUCGGCUAACUACGUGCCAGCAGCCGCGGUAAGACGUAGGACGCGAGCGUUAUCCGGAUUUACUGGGCGUAAAGCGUCUGUAGGCGGAACAGUAAGUUGGGCGUGAAAGCUUCGGGCUUAACCCGGAGAGGACGUACAAGACUGCUGAACUAGAGGCCACCAGAGGGGCGUGGAAUUUCCGGUGUAGCGGUAAAAUGCGCAGAUAUCGGAAGGAACACCAGUGGCGAAGGCGGCGCCCUGGGGUGGGCCUGACGCUAAGAGACGAAAGCUAGGGGAGCGAACAGGAUUAGAGACCCUGGUAGUCCUAGCCGUAAACGAUGGAUGCUAGGUGUGGGGCCGACAGGCUCCGUGCCGCAGCUAACGCGAUAAGCAUCCCGCCUGGGGAGUACGGCCGCAAGGCUAAAACUCAAAGGAAUUGACGGGGCCCCG